GCAAGUCGAACGAUAACGGUUCUAGCUUGCUAGAAUGUCAGCUAAGUGGCGAACGGGUGAGUAAUGUUAGUUUACGUGCCUCAUAGACUGGAAUAACAGUUGGAAACGACUGCUAAUACUAGAUACUCCCUACGGGGGAAAGCUUUUGUGCUAUGAGAUCGGACUAUAUUGUAUCAGCUAGUUGGUGGGGUAAGGGCCUACCAAGGCAAUGACACAUAGCUGGUUUGAGAGAAUGAUC
rnacentral:rRNA from 1 species